rnacentral:lncRNA from 1 species
CAUUAUUUUAUUUCUUUGGGCCGAACACUACUUAAGCCCAGCCAAAAGUCCAGAGCAGCGAGCAGGCCAGCCUAUCUUUUUAUCCCAAAAACCCAACAAAGAAACAUGAUCUCUGACCUCCAGCCCAAACCGAAACCCAAAAGAAAUAAACCAAAACCCAACCAAAGAUAACCACAAGCCCACCUAAAAGAAACAUUAGCCCAAACCCUUUUUUUUUUU